ensembl:lncRNA
UUUUAUCUAUCUCUCUCUCACAAGGUGUCAGCACAUCUUAAGCAGAAGUGGAGAAGUGCUCAGGAUGAGUCCAUAGAGUAAAACACAUUUUUCCUUUUUAAAUUCCUGAAAUAAGGUCAGGAAAUUCUCCUUCUGUUUGUGGACUUUCUGCAAGCUGGCAAAGAGGCUAAAUUAACUGCAUACAUUAUUCAUUACAAAUUAUUCACUCUAUGCAGCACAUACUGAUUGUUUAGAAAAUUCAUUCUUUCUGUCCUAGAAAUGUCACUGGCUGUAACUCAUUACCUCAUCAUUGACAAAUUCUGUUGAUUGCUUGACUAGUUGCUUUAACUAAUCCAGGAUUAUGGGUCACAAGAAUAAAAACAGGCACUUCACUAGCAGUUUGCGCAUGAGUAUCUCCAAACAUGAUUUCCAAAUGCUAAUUAAUCCCCAGAGCACCUGGGAAGUGAAGUAUUCCUAUCCUUAUAACAGAUUUGUAGCUCUUGAACCUUGUCAGGAGGUGGAAAGUCAUUUUGCUGACUCACACAAGCUGCCAGGUCAGGUGGGUCUCAUUAGCUCCAACCAGCUAGGAUAAAAAACCUGAGUAUUAAAUAUUAGAAAGGGAAAAAAAAAGAAAAAAGAAAUCAAGUAAGAGGAUAUAGGGAGGAUGGAAAAAAACCAGCAGAUAGUACUUUUGUUAGCUGCUGUGGGUUAGAGGAAGUAUUGACAAUGCUGUUUGGUUUCAGAACCUUGUUCUUAGUAUAGUUGUUGAAGUAGCUAAAUAAAUGAUAGGGAGUUAAAUGGGAUUGAACCCUUUCAGUUCAAUUCAAUAAGUUGAUUCUUCUGGGCCUUUAUUUAUUUGUUUUCAAAGUGUUUCUAUGCCAGACUAUGCUAGCAGUCUUAAAAUUGUAUGAGGCUCAAAGGCUAUCUGGGAUUGGCAUCCAUUUGUUCUUCUCUUGGACAAGAUAUACAUGUUCUUGGGAGUCCAAGGUCCAGUUGUCUGUGUAUCUGGCACAGAUACAAUAUAAGGCAAAGAGCCUGAAUUCUUCCUUCCCUCUGAGUGAUGGCUGGGAUGCCCAGAUUACAUUUUUGUCACAGACUUGGCAGAUGGCUCUUUCACCUACACUGAAUUCCACCAAACUUCAGCUCAUAGACACUUGAGAAGAUGUGGACAAUAGUCAAUCAACAAGACUUGAAAGAGGCUGGCAAGCAUGCAUGUAGCACUGCCCCCAUGCAGCAGCUUGGUUAAAAAGAUGAGUGCAUUACCCUGAAGGAUGUCAAUUACCCUGAAGGAUGUCACACCAAAGCAAAGGCUUAAUAAUUCAGCCCCGAGACCAGCACGUGUUGUUUAGCAGUGGAGCCAGCUGUCAUGCUUUCUCAAGUUGUGACCUCAUCGGAUUUACGAAGUAAGCUGAACUGAGCUGCAUUUAUAUUUGGCUCUGAAACCUCUUUUGAAAAUCCAGAAUAAUGCAGGAAGUAGUGAUGUGGAUUCAACAGUGAAUAUGAUUCCCUUCCAGUGUUGGACUGAUGUGGUGUUUUAGCACAGAGUGAGGAAGCAAUGUGCUACUGGCAGGAGCUGUAUUUCAUAUAAGGUAUUAGCUCAUUUUUAUGAAAAUCCACACAAAGCUUGCUCAAGGGAUAGGUGCACUGCAGCACUUUCAAUGUAGAGUUGCCACUGAUACACCCCAAAACAGAAAGAAAAGCAGAAACUGAACGCGUCCUCUAGGACUUGAGUGCCCCACUCCCUUACCUCUUUGCAAGUUACAGCAUGACAUUUACAGCUAGUGCUCCACCAUUCAGCCUGCAAAACAAGUUCUCUGCUUCAGUGACACCUCCCCCCCCCCCCCCCCCCCGCGGGUUUUCCUUGCCUGCAUCGGUCCACACAGUCGAUCUUUUAACACUAUGUACUUUGAUGUGAGAGAGAAAGUAAAGGGAUCUGGCUUCUGUUACUGCUUUAUCUACUUGCAUUCCUUCCACAUUCACUUUUCCGUGCUCCUUCCUCUUCUCCCUCCCCGUUUGCUUUCCUUCCACCAGCUGUGCUGACGUUAGAGAUAAGGUAACUCUUCAUCUCAGGACCAGAGUCAAUUCUUAAAAAGUCUUAAGACUCACCUUCUUCUUCCAGUUUUACUAUGGCUCCUGCGUUGACAUAAAUAAGGGUGCACUGGUGUAUUUCUGAGCAGCCUCUGGCCACUAGCAUCAAUGUGUUCCACAUAAUUUUCUAUAUUUCCGAGAUUUAAUAAGUAACUCAACUUUCUAGAUGAACCGUUGUUCUUCAUGAUAGCUUUUAAAUCCAUUCUGAGUACAGUAGAUAGCUGCCCUUCAUAUUAGGGUGUCUAGUAUCUCACCAAAAGCAUGGGAUUUCACCGUGUGCUUUAGUCUUCUCUAGUUUAGAUAUUUGCUUGUUGCAAAAUGAGUGAAGUCCCCAACCUGUGAGAAAGGGCUGCCUAAGGAAAUGCACUCCCUGUGGCUUGUUGACUGGGUGGGGGAGUCAGUCAGCAUUCACUCCUCAUGUUGCUGGUGCUCUGCCCACUUGGACAUUUGAAUAAAGAGUUUUGGAUGGGGUCCUAAAACUGGGAG